GUUGAGGAUUUUCUCUCACCCCUUCAGCACUGAGUUGAAAUGAGGAAGACUUUGGGAGAAGACAGAAACUGGAAGUUCCUUCUCAAUUGGACUUUACUGAGCUAGCAGGAAACAAUAUGAUUGAAAAUGAAAAUAUCUUUUGCUUCACUUCUUAUACGUAAAACUGUUAUCCAAAUCAGAAGUCUCCUCACUCUUAUCUUGAGCCAUACCUAGACCAAAAGGGUGACAUUAAGAAGAAGAGAGCACUGAACUUGGCAGGAAAAUCAGUAGGAGUAAGUGGCGGAGGCAUGGGACUGGCAGAGAUACGGCAGCCCCUGUGGAGAGGCUGUCUACAGAUAACAUAACAAUAACAACAGGAUCUGCGGGGUUCCUGCAUGCGUGUUGGCUUCACUGGAGAAACUAAUCAAGUGGUCUGAGUCAUUCAAGUUAUAGUCUAUUUGAAGACGAGUUGAAUCUGAAACAAUGAGUAAGAUGAUGAGAGCUCGAUACUUAUGGUUUAAAUAUAAAAGGGGUAUCCCAACUCAGAAAGAGAGAGGAGAUCUGGAAAAAUCCUGCUUUCUGAAGCUUUUGACGGUAUUUUCAUACUGCCUGACUAAAGUGCAACAGCUACAUAUUGACAGGCGGUGGAAGGUGCAGUUUGGACACAGAGACUGACACACAGGAAGAAUACCAUGUGAAGACUGGAGUUUUGCAUAGAGAAGCCAAGGAGCUACCAGAAGCUAGGAGAAUGGCCUGGAACAGACCUUUCCUUAGUGCCUUCAGAGAGAGCAUGGCGCUGCCAACAUCUUGAUCUCAGACUUCCAGCAUCCUGAAUUGUGAGAUAAAUUUCUGCUGUUUAAACCAUAUAAUUUGUGAUACUUUGCUAUGGCAACUGUCACAGCUAUUAUAAGCACCUAACCCUUUUUUUAAUCUUUUAAGAAACUUUUUGCUUUCAUCUACUUUUUUUGUUCUGGUUAUUCCAUAUUUUACUUUAAGAUUUAGUCUUCUGUCAAUAAAGCAAUAAUUUCAGAUCAAUUUCAAUAAAAAAUUAAUAAUGUCCAAACA
rnacentral:lncRNA from 10 species